rnacentral:rRNA from 1 species
CAUAGGUUAAUGAGGCGAACCGGGGGAACUGAAACAUCUAAGUACCCCGAGGAAAAGAAAUCAACCGAGAUUCCCCCAGUAGCGGCGAGCGAACGGGGAGCAGCCCAGAGCCUGAAUCAGUGUGUGUGUUAGUGGAAGCGUCUGGAAAGGCGCGCGAUACAGGGUGACAGCCCCGUACACAAAAAUGCACAUACUGUGAGCUCGAUGAGUAGGGCGGGACACGUGGUAUCCUGUCUGAAUAUGGGGGGACCAUCCUCCAAGGCUAAAUACUCCUGACUGACCGAUAGUGAACCAGUACCGUGAGGGAAAGGCGAAAAGAACCCCGGCGAGGGGAGUGAAAAAGAACCUGAAACCGUGUACGUACAAGCAGUGGGAGCACGCUUAGGCGUGUGACUGCGUACCUUUUGUAUAAUGGGUCAGCGACUUAUAUUCUGUAGCAAGGUUAACCGAAUAGGGGAGCCGAAGGGAAACCGAGUCUUAACUGGGCGUUAAGUUGCAGGGUAUAGACCCGAAACCCGGUGAUCUAGCCAUGGGCAGGUUGAAGGUUGGGUAACACUAACUGGAGGACCGAACCGACUAAUGUUGAAAAAUUAGCGGAUGACUUGUGGCUGGGGGUGAAAGGCCAAUCAAACCGGGAGAUAGCUGGUUCUCCCCGAAAGCUAUUUAGGUAGCGCCUCGUGAAUUCAUCUCCGGGGGUAGAGCACUGUUUCGGCAAGGGGGUCAUCCCGACUUACCAACCCGAUGCAAACUGCGAAUACCGGAGAAUGUUAUCACGGGAGACACACGGCGGGUGCUAACGUCCGUCGUGAAGAGGGAAACAACCCAGACCGCCAGCUAAGGUCCCAAAGUCAUGGUUAAGUGGGAAACGAUGUGGGAAGGCCCAGACAGCCAGGAUGUUGGCUUAGAAGCAGCCAUCAUUUAAAGAAAGCGUAAUAGCUCACUGGUCGAGUCGGCCUGCGCGGAAGAUGUAACGGGGCUAAACCAUGCACCGAAGCUGCGGCAGCGACGCUGAUGCGUUGUUGGGUAGGGGAGCGUUCUGUAAGCCUGUGAAGGUGUGCUGUGAGGCAUGCUGGAGGUAUCAGAAGUGCGAAUGCUGACAUAAGUAACGAUAAAGCGGGUGAAAAGCCCGC